rnacentral:rRNA from 1 species
UACGUAGGGAGCAAGCGUUGUCCGGAAUCAUUGGGCGUAAAGCGCGCGUAGGUGGCUUCAUAAGUCCGUUGUGAAAGUCAAAGGCUCAACCUUUGAAAGCCGAUGGAUACUGUGGAGCUAGAGUACGGAAGAGGCGAGUGGAAUUCCUGGUGUAGCGGUGGAAUGCGCAGAUAUCAGGAGGAACACCAAUAGCGAAGGCAGCUCGCUGGGACGUUACUGACACUGAGGCGCGAAAGCGUGGGGGAGCGAACAGGA